rnacentral:misc_RNA from 1 species
AACGCAAAUUGCACUCUCCGGUUUUCCGGGAGAGUAUGCCUGUUUGAGGGUCAGCCUAAAAAAAUCGACAUCGUUGCUGUUGUUUCAUGGUGACUUCGUCGGAGAUUGGGUCAUCUUAAACCUUUCGGGUUUUUAAGUGACUUCAAAUUUUUUUUUUUUACGAUUCUAAGAACGUUUCUAAGAUUUUUUUCUUACACGUUCAAGGUGUCGAAUGCCUUUACUAGACGUGUUCGUUGCAUCGGAUCGCGUCCAUAACAUAUCUUUCGUUAACUGACCUCAGACAGGUAAGAGUACCCGCUGAACUUAA